rnacentral:rRNA from 1 species
GACGUAGGGCGCGAGCGUUGUCCGGAUUUAUUGGGCGUAAAGAGCUCGUAGGCGGUUCGGUAAGCCGGAUGUGAAAUCUCCACGCUCAACGUGGAGGGGCCAUUCGAUACUGCCGUGACUCGAGUCCGGUAGGGGAGUGUGGAAUUCCCGGUGUAGCGGUGAAAUGCGCAGAGAUCGGGAGGAACACCCGUAGCGAAGGCGGCACUCUGGGCCGGUACUGACGCUGAGGAGCGAAAGCGUGGGGAGCGAACAGG